UACGUAGGGUGCGAGCGUUGUCCGGAAUUAUUGGGCGUAAAGGGCUCGUAGGCGGUCUGUUGCGUCGGGAGUGAAAACUCAGGGCUUAACCCUGAGCCUGCUUCCGAUACGGGCAGACUAGAGGUAUGCAGGGGAGAACGGAAUUCCUGGUGUAGCGGUGAAAUGCGCAGAUAUCAGGAGGAACACCGGUGGCGAAGGCGGUUCUCUGGGCCUGUACUGACGCUGAGGAACGAAAGCGUGGGGAGCGAACAGG
rnacentral:rRNA from 1 species